AGUGAACGCUGGCGGUAGGCCUAACACAUGCAAGUCGAACGGCAGCACAGUAAGAGCUUGCUCUUACGGGUGGUGAGUGGCGGACGGGUGAGGAAUACAUCGGAAUCUACUUUUUCGUGGGGGAUAACGUAGGGAAACUUACGCUAAUACCGCAUACGACCUACGGGUGAAAGCAGGGGAUCUUCGGACCUUGCGCGAUUGAAUGAGCCGAUGUCGGAUUAGCAAGUUGGCGGGGUAAAGGCCCACCAAGGCGACGAUCCGUAGCUGGUCUGAGAGGAUGAUCAGCCACACUGGAACUGAGACACGGUCCAGACUCCUACGGGAGGCAGCAGUGGGGAAUAUUGGACAAUGGGCGCAAGCCUGAUCCAGCCAUACCGCGUGGGUGAAGAAGGCCUUCGGGUUGUAAAGCCCUUUUGUUGGGAAAGAAAAGCAGCAGGUUAAUACCCCGCUGUUCGGACGGUACCCAAAGAAUAAGCACCGGCGAACUUCGU
rnacentral:rRNA from 1 species